rnacentral:rRNA from 1 species
CGGACGGGUGAGUAAUGUAUAGGAACUUGCCUAUUAGUGGGGGACAACGCGCGGAAACGCACGCUAAUACCGCAUACGCUCUACGGAGGAAAGCGGGGGCUCUUCGGACCUCGUGCUACUAGAUAGGCCUAUAUUGGAUUAGCUAGUUGGUAAGGUAAAGGCUUACCAAGGCGACGAUCCAUAGCUGGUUUGAGAGAAUGAUCAGCCACACUGGGACUGAGACUCGGCCCAG